AUGGGACGCCCGGAGCCGGUCGUGCUGUUCGCGCAGACGAUCCUCCACUCUCAGCUGGACGAGUACGUCGACGAGGUGCUAUUUUCUGAACCUGUUGUGAUUACUGCCUGUGAGUUUCUUGAGCAAAAUGCUGCUCCUUCUACACCAAACAUAUCUCUUGUUGGUGCAACAUCCCCACCAUCAUUUGCUUUGGAAGUCUUUGUUCACUGCGAUGGGGAGUCUCGAUUUAGGCGCCUUUGCCUGCCUUUCUUGUAUUCACACUCCUCGUCCAAUGUGCUUGAAGUUGAGGCUAUUGUAACAAAUCAUCUAGUGCUGCGGGGAACUUAUCGCAGUCUCACUCUUGUAAUUUAUGGGAAUACUGCCGAAGACCUUGGUCAGUUCAACAUAGAACUAGGCCUAGAUCAUUCUCUUGCCAAUGUGGUUAGCUCUCCGUCAGAGGGAAAAUUUGAAGACCUUCCACCGGCACUACGUUCAUCCAAAUUCAAAUUUGAAGAGUCAUUAUCUUCGAUCAAACCAUUGAGUUUUCAGUCCACAGAUUUGGACUUGUCACUUGAAGUGAAGAAAAUACUAUAUUUAGCUCUCAAAAUGCACCAAAUACCCAAUGUGGAGAAUCUGAUCCCUGACCUAGGAAGUGCAGUUAUCUCAGCUGUUUCAAAAUAUGUGACUAAUUCGAACUGCAUGCCACAUAGUUGGAAUCAAGACUUGGCAGAUGGCUUCAGCAAGAGUAAUCUUGAUCCUCAGGAAAGUAAUAAUGUUCACACUGAAGCUAGCAAUGAGCUGUUUGAAAUUUGGAAAAAUGUCCAUUCUGUCGCUGCUACUCGUUUUGGUGAUGAUGGCUUUGCCGUCGGAUUGGAGGAGUUGCCUACGACUAAAACGAUACUUGAGUUGUUUAACAAUAGUUUCCCAUAUUAUAGAAACUGUUCGUUACUUGAUCUACAAUGCCCUUCUCAGAAUAACUGGUUGGUGAUGUCCCUGAGUUUGGUUCUCCUAAUAUGCUCCUCAAAAGAGAGUUGCUUUUAUUUUGUUGAUGCUGGUGGGAUGGAGCAAAUCAUUAAUCUGCUUUGCUGGAAUACACCCAAAUCUACAGCUACUACAUUGCUUCUCCUAGGUAUUGUUGAGAAUGCUACUCGGCAUGGUGUUGGAUGUGAAGCGUUCUUGGGAUGGUGGCCACGAAGUGAUCGGAACAGUAUACCCACCGGCAGCAGUGAUGGCUACUGUUCUUUGUUGAAGCUUCUACUGGAAAAAGAAAGACAUGAUAUCGCCUCUCGUGCUACAUAUGUUCUUCAACGUUUGCGUUUUUAUGAGAUACUAUCUAGAUACGAGUCUGCCGUGAUCAAAGUGGUUUCCAAUCUGCCUUCUGAUGAACUUUCCGCGGACAGAGUUUCUUUUCUUAUUUUUGCAAGUAGCGAGCUUGCCGAAAUGUCGAAAUUGAUAAAGAUAUGUGGCCCUAUUGAAGAUCCUUCGCCAGAGGCUAUUGCUAGAAGAAUAUCCAAGUCUAGUCAUUUGGAAGAUUCACUUUCAUUCAAAGCAACAAUUGGUCUUAUAACUUCUUCCAAGUACAGUUUCUUGCAAUUUGACACCGAUUCAUGUUUGUUAUCUCUUAUCCAGGAAAGAGGUUUUUUCCCUCUGUCAGCAGCUUUAUUAUCAUCACCUGUAAUGCAUUUGGCAAGUGGGCCUGCUGCUGAAAUAUUGAUGGAGAUCACAUCGUCAAUUGAAUCCAUUCUCCUCUCCCUUCUUUUUUGUCGCUCAGGGUUAUCUUUUUUGCUCAGUCAACCUGAAGCAACUGAGCUUAUAGUUCUUUCUCUUCAAGAUGGUAAAGAUAUGAAUAAAACAGAAUGCAUAACUCUUAGGCAUGCCUUCGUUCUUCUGUCAAAAGGAUUCUUCUGCCGCCCCCAGGAAGUUGGAAUGAUCACAGAGCUACAUCUUAAAGUGGGAAGUGCUGCCAAUAGGCUACUUGCAGUUCCUCCAAAUUCUGAUGAGCUUUUAUGGGUUCUUUGGGAACUUUGUGCCAUUUCGAGGUCCGAUUCUGGUCGCCAAGCAUUAUUAGCUCUUGGCUACUUCCCUGAGGCAAUAUCAGUUCUGUUGAGUUCCAUCUCUAAAUACAAGGAUCUCGAUUCAACCAUGAUUAAAAAUGGAGGAUCUCCAUUGGGUCUUGCUAUCUUCCAUUCAGCAGCGGAAAUUCUUGAAGUCUUGGUUGCAGAUUCAACUGCUUCAUCACUCAAGUCAUGGAUUGGAUUUGCUGUUGAUCUGCACAAGGCGUUGCAUUCGUCUUCUCCAGGUUCAAACAGGAAAGAUGCUCCAACAAGGUUGCUUGAAUGGAUUGAUGCUGGUGUUAUAUAUCAGAGAAAUGGUGCUGUUGGGCUUCUUCGUUAUUCUGCUAUUCUAGCUUCUGGUGAAGAUGCCCAUUUUUCUUCUGGAAAUGUGCUCGUGUCAGAUUCAAUGGAUGUUGAGAAUGUGGUUGCAGAUUCAAAUAAUACUUCAGAUGGUCAAGUCAUUGAUAAUCUUCUUGGGAAGCUUGUUACAAACAAGUACUUUGAUGGAGUUGCUUUGUGCAGCACUUCUGUGGUUCAAUUGACAACAGCCUUCCGCAUUUUAGCAUUUAUUUCAGAAGAUAAGGCUGUGGCUUCUUCCCUGUUUGAAGAAGGUGCGAUUACUGUUAUAUACAUAGUCCUGAUGAACUGCAAGUCUAUGCUUGAACGCUUGUCAAACAGCUACGAUUACCUUGUUGAUGAAGGUGCUGAACUAAGUUCCACCACAGAAUUGCUUUUAGACCGAACUCAUGAACAAGCCCUUGUUGAUCUCAUGACUCCUUCUCUUGUGUUGCUGAUAAACCUCCUUCAGAUAUUACAUGGAACAAAGGAACAAUACCGCAACAAAAAACUUCUUACUGCUCUUCUGCGGCUGCACCGAGAAGUCAGCCCAAGACUAGCAGCUUGUGCGGCCGAUCUGUCUUUCAUGUUACCUAGUUUUGCUGUAAGCUUUGGUGUGGUUUGCCAGCUUAUUACCUCAGCACUUGCUUGCUGGCCACUGUAUAAUUGGACACCUGGCCUAUUUCAUUGCCUUCUUGAAAAUGUUGAGCCUACUAAUGCAUCAGUACCAUUAGGUCCAAAAGAUGCCUGCAGCCUUCUUUGUCUCUUGGGUGAUCUUUUCCCAGAUGAAGGCAUAUGGAUGUGGAAUGUCGAAGUUCCUUCUCUGAGUGCUAUUAGAUCUUUGAGUACUGCAACAAUUCUAGGGCCUCAAGUUGAGAAACAUGUGAACUGGCACCUGCGCCCUGAACAUGUGUCUGUAUUACUUGUAAGGUUGAUGCCACAACUUGAUAGACUUGCACGUGUCAUUGACAACUUUGCUACUUCGGCCUUGAUGGUGAUACAAGACAUGCUCCGGAUCUUCAUUGUUCGUGUUGCCUCUGAAAAGAUUGAGUGUGCGGUGGUUCUUCUGCGACCAAUUUUUAUUUGGUUGAAUGACAAGGUUGAUGAAGCUUCCCUGUCAGAGGGGGAGGUCUUUAAGGUGCAUCAGUUACUUAAGUUCAUUGCAAAAUUGUCAGAACAUCCAAAUGGCAAGGUAUUGCUAUGGAAAAUGGGAAUUGCACGGGUUCUUAAUAAGUUGCUAAAGAACUGCAGCAACGCAUCUUACUUGGAAGAUAAGACGAUCUCUGAAAGAGGAGCCUACAGAAGUGACCAACUUAUGCUCAAAUGGAGGAUUCCCUUAUUCAGAUGUCUCGCAUCUAUCUUCAGUGCCCAGCCAUCUGGCAAAGAGCAGACUGCUAUUGAAGAGUCUUCAGAGAAUGCUAGCGUUGAGGAGUGCUCUUCUAUCAUGCAUCACCUCUUGGUCUUAUGCCAGGUUUUACCAGUUGGACGGGAAAUGUUUGCUUGUUCCAUGGCAUUCAAGGAAGUGGCUUCUUCCUAUAUCUGUAGAAGUGCAGUGCCUUUGAUAUUUUCACAACUCCAAACUCUUAACCAAGAUGAUGAGGAGAAAACUGAGAGUGACACUUAUCAUGACCCACCAAAUAUGGAUAACUGGCGCUGCUUUACCCCUUUAUUGAAGUGCUUCAAGCGACUCCUGAAAUGUGUUGACGCUAAUAAUCCAACAGAUCAUUGUGUAGAAACAGUUUAUUCUUUUAUACUCGGUGCUAUUGCCCUUAGCCAGUACGGUGACAGUCUUGAGGGUCCCAUCAUAUUGAGGUGUCUAUUUGGGCACCCCUUUGAACGUAGUCUUGCAUUGAAAUCCUCUGGCGAUAGUUUGGAUGAGAGUACAGUUUUAGUGAAGACUUUUGAGGAGAAAAUAUCCCAGGGCUAUGAUCAUUUGUCAAAUUCUGUUGGAAAGAGUCUUAUAAAUCAGGUUCAGAGUUCCAUCACAUUACUGUGCUCUAUUCUUGAGAAUGCUGGCCUAUUAGAAGAUUCAGUGCAGAUGGUUCUUGAAGGCACUUACUUGCCAUUUGGAGUGGUUCGUUCUGUUGUCAUGACAUCUCGUCUAAUGCCAUCCCUAGCCAGUGUGUCUGUGAAUCAUGAAUCUGUUCUCUUCUUUUCAAAUGCUUGGAAGGUUAUUGCUGAUUCAGAAGAACCGGUUGAGGGUGAAUUUUCGAAGAGGUUGGUGUGGGAGUUGCCCGAUUCUUCUCUUGAUAGACAGCUAAUUGCUAGUCAAUCUGCUAGCAGAAAACUGGCAUUAGGAGAGGCUGCAAGUAGACGUAUAAAAGACAAUCAAGCACCUGAACCUACUGGACAGUUUGCUCGAAGUUUAAAUACAACUAGCGCCUCUACAGGUCAUGCACGCAGAGAUACUUUCCGUCAUCGGAAACCAAACACAAGUAGACCACCUUCAAUGCAUGUAGAUGAUUAUGUUGCAAGAGAGAGGAACAUAGAUGGUGCAAGCAGUGCAUCAAAUAUUGUAAAUUCUACUCCGCGCGGAACACUUAGUGGAAGACCUCCAUCUAUUCAUGUAGAUGAAUUUAUGGCUAGGCAGAGGGAGCGUCAAAAUCCUGUGCCAGCCCCAUCUGGGGAUGCACCCCAAGUAAAGAGUCAGACAAGUUUGGAUGACAAUGUCCGUGUUAAGACGGAGAAACCGCGACAACCCAAGGCGGAUCUUGAUGACGAUCAAGAAAUUGAUAUUGUCUUUGAUGAGGAAUUGGAGUCAGAUGACAAACUACCUUUUCCUCAACCGGAUGAUAAUCUACAACCACCUGUCAUUGUUGGGGAAAAUUCUCCAGGUCCAGUUGUUGAGGAGACAGAGAAUCAGCAGAAUGAAAAAAGUCCCUUUUCUCAGAGGGACAUACCUGUCUCAAUGAACAAUGAGAGUCUUGGUGCUGACAUAUCUUCUCGGACAGCUAUGCUUCCAGAAGCUAAUGUUCCUUUGGAGCGAAAAGGUUCAGUUUCUAGCCCAGCCCCGGAGAAGAGCGCGUUCAGUGAUCAUGCUGAUGAACCUGCAUACUUUUCCUCUCAUAACAAGCGUCCUGCAGAAGCACCUCUGCAACAAUUGCGUCCUAAUACUUAUCAGAAGAGAAGUGUACAUAAGUUGUCUGAGAGUUCUCUGUCAUCUGGAUCUCAUGGGCACGAUCAUAGGCUUUCCAGAAACCAACCACCUCUGCCACCAAUGCCACUACCAACUUCUUCCAUGCCUACACGAAGUCCUGAGUCAAGUCAAAGGAGGUCAUCAUCUUACAACGCUAGGGACAGCGCUAGGGAUGGACCACUAGCUUACCCAUCUAAUUAUCCUGUACAACCUUUUGAGGCUAGUAUGCCUACCGCUUUUGUAGGGCUUCAGGGUCAAACUGAACAUGCCCUAGCAAGCAAUGGUACUUCAUCAUCGAAUGCUCCUAAUGCAGACGCCAAUUUCUUGUGGAACAAUUUUCCAGUGAAUAGGGUCCCUAUGGAGCACUUCAACUCUGGUUCAUCUGGCCGACCAAUGGCACCCCUUGCUCAACCUUAUUCAACCCAACAUUCUGCAAUGAGCUCUGGCUCUCCUGCAUCUCAUCUGUAUAAUCAAGGCACUAGUGUUGUCCAUCCUAACCCGUCUUCAUCUCUUAUGAACGAUGGAAAUUUAGGCAUAAAUUCUGCAUCUGGCAGCGCAAUUCUGUCCAAUUUGUUGCCAUCAUUUGCAUCGCAAUUUCUAAUGGGUAGGCCUCCAAUGUCUAGUCCAUUUUUCGGAACACCUCUCCAACAUGUUCAACUCUCAUCUGGCCUUCCACAGAGUGGUUCCAAUCCUCAGCCUUCUGUUUCUUCAAUGCAAGCACGGCCACCUCCACCGCCACCACUACCUCAGCAGCCUCAUCCAUCCCAGACCCAGCAACAUCUUGCUUCUCUUCAAUGGCAGCAACAGCAGGAGCAGCCUCAGUCAUAUGCACAAAAUAGUAUCCAGUCGCAGAUGACUUUGCAGUUUCAGAACCAACUUCCUGUUCCUCAGAUGCAAUUUUACCCGAGUCAGCAGGACUUUGCGGCGCAAACGCUGAGACAAGCGGGUGAACAAUCGCAAGUUGCUAGCCAGACUGCACAAGUGGAUGGUUCAUCUCAACAGCAGAAAGAACCGGAGAUCGAUCUGAGCCACUUCUUCUCGUCUCAAGAAGCAAUCCAGAGCCUUCUAAGCGAUCGUGCGAAGCUUUGCCAACUUCUGGAGGCUAACCCCAAACUGAUGCAAAUGCUUCAGGAUCGCAUUGGCGGCAGCAAAUAG
rnacentral:rRNA from 1 species